GCAGUCGAGCGCGAAAACACUUCGGUGUGAGUAGAGCGGCGGACGGGUGAGUAAUGCUUGGGAAUCUGCCCAAUAGUGGGGGAUAACCUGUGGAAACGCAGGCUAAUACCGCAUACGUCCUACGGGAGAAAGCAGGGGAUCUUCGGACCUUGCGCUAUUGGAUGAGCCCAAGUCGGAUUAGCUAGUUGGUGGGGUAAUGGCUCACCAAGGCAACGAUCCGUAGCUGGUCUGAGAGGAUGAUCAGCCACACUGGGACUGAGACACGGCCCAGACUCCUACGGGAGGCAGCAGUGGGGAAUAUUGCACAAUGGGGGAAACCCUGAUGCAGCCAUGCCGCGUGUGUGAAGAAGGCUCUAGGGUUGUAAAGCACUUUCAGUAGGGAGGAAAUGUUAACGGUUAAUAACCGUUAGCUUUGACGUUACCUACAGAAGAAGCACCGGCAAACUCCGUGCCAGCAGCCGCGGUAAUACGGAGGGUGCGAGCGUUAAUCGGAAUUACUGGGCGUAAAGCGCGCGUAGGUGGUUUGAUAAGCUAGCUGUGAAAGCCCCGGGCUCAACCUGGGAACUGCAGUUAGAACUGUCUGACUAGAGUACAGUAGA
rnacentral:rRNA from 1 species